rnacentral:rRNA from 1 species
UACGUAGGGUGCGAGCGUUGUCCGGAAUUAUUGGGCGUAAAGAGCUUGUAGGCGGUCUGUCGCGUCUGCUGUGAAAUUCCGGGGCUCAACCCCGGACUUGCAGUGGGUACGGGCAGACUAGAGUGUGGUAGGGGAGACUGGAAUUCCUGGUGUAGCGGUGAAAUGCGCAGAUAUCAGGAGGAACACCGAUGGCGAAGGCAGGUCUCUGGGCCACUACUGACGCUGAGAAGCGAAAGCAUGGGGAGCGAACAGG